rnacentral:rRNA from 1 species
CUAGCGUUGUUCGGAAUUACUGGGCGUAAAGCGCACGUAGGCGGCUUUGUACGUUAGAGGUGAAAGCCCGGGGCUCAACUCCGGAAUUGCCUUUAAGACUGCAUCGCUAGAAUUGUGGAGAGGUAAGUGGAAUUCCGAGUGUAGAGGCGAAAUUCGUAGAUAUUCGGAAGAACACCAGUGGCGAAGGCGACUUACUGGACACAUAUUGACGCUGAGGUGCGAAAGCGUGGGGAGCAAACAGG